rnacentral:rRNA from 1 species
UACGUAGGGUGCGAGCGUUAAUCGGAAUUACUGGGCGUAAAGCGUGCGCAGGCGGUUUUGUAAGCCAGAUGUGAAAUCCCCGGGCUUAACCUGGGAAUGGCAUUUGGGACUGCAAGGCUCGAGUGCGGCAGAGGAGACUGGAAUUCCUGGUGUAGCAGUGAAAUGCGUAGAUAUCAGGAGGAACACCGAUGGCGAAGGCAGGUCGCUGGGACGGUACUGACACUGAGGCGCGAAAGCGUGGGGAGCGAACAGG